UCUCGUGCUUGGCAUUGGUUCUUCCUGGGAUCACCAAAGUGCUCUCUCCCCUUCUUAAAUGUUUUGGCACAUCAUUUUUUCGCUUAUGUGGCAUGCUUAGCACCUGUUCACGGUGGAGCACUGAGAAGGGCCUUAUACACCGCAAUACGGGAUGGACCCCCCACGUUGCUGUCUCAUUCCUUCUUUCCCACAUCGAGCCCCACCCCCCUCUCUCUCGUUUCCAUGGCGGUCGCUGGUCACCACUGGCUAUGGCCGCUAGAUCUACCUUCUCCACCAACGUUCGACACCGGAUCCGGCUUCCGCGAUCGGCACCUACCACUUUGGGACACAAACAAGACCGGUGGUGGCGCGACUGUACCACGAGGUCGGAUCCAUUGACGUCGGCGUCGGGGAGACCUGCUCCGGCAAGGUUCCUCGAUCCCGCCCACCACAAGCCCGUCCAUCGACAGCCGUUCUCGCCGUUGGUGGCUCCGUGCAGCACGGGCACCACGACAGCGCACCGCACAGAGUUGUCGUCGGAUCUGGCGACUCCAAGUUUGACCGCCAUUGGAUCUGAUCAUCGGCCUCCUGCCUCUUCAGUUUCAGAUAUUUGAAUGUUUGUGACAGAGGGCAUGUGUUACUCUUUUCUGAAAGAGAACCAAGAGUGAAUCUAUUUUAAACAAGUUACGUGUGGAGUUGAGUUCUGCAAUAUAUGUGAAAUUUAUAUUUCAAUCUGUAACUUGUUAUUUCAGUGAGACAUGUAUUGAAAUAGAUGUUUCAAUAUAAAUUGAGAUAGUUUGUGCCA